UACACUGUUCUUCACUAUUCAGAGCUUGGGUCCAGAGCAGAAAGAGGACAGCCGAGGCUUGAUGCAUGGGCGAGAGCCAAACCACAGCAGCUCGGAGGACGCUCCAGGUGCGGCCCCUCCCUCCUGGUCUUCCUACUCCUGGGUGGGUGCCUGCAGAGACCCCAGAAGCUGCAUCACGGCCCCUUCAAGCUGGUCUGGGUCCUGGUAACUGGAUAGAGCGGGUCCUGCCCCACUCUCAUUUCCCUUCAUUUUUCUAUAUUAGGGAUGAGGUGAUCUAUUUUUAGCGUGUGGCUGGUUAAGUCAGGGUUGCUAUAGUGACGGCGAGUGGCUACAAACCCAGAGCUGCUCAGAGUCCCAGUUGCAGAGAAAUCCCAACACAGAGUCCUGACAGGAAUGCAAUCUCGGAGGAUGGAGUGGCCCUGCCCAUGGGGGGACCCUGCCCACUGUCUACAUGCCAUGGGAAGGCUGAGCCUGAGUCUCGCUAGCAGGAAGUGAAUCCGGACUGGGGACUGAGAGAAGAACCAGAGAGCUGGUUGGAGAUGGAAUGCCAAGGCUCAGUCACAGGUAUAUACAAUAAGAUAUUGGGCAACAGAUAUUCAUCCGGGGAAGCACGUACUUGUUUGUUUUAUUCUGAGGCUUCUGAGAGUUUCUCAAAGGCCCAUGAUGGACCUCUCCUCACUGAAAUUGUUUCUGCCAGCCUCUCUCAUGGUACAAGCAGAGAGAAGAGCACAAAACUCCAGCCCAAGGGAGUGGCACCUCUGGAUUCCACAGUCAAGGGGUAUGGUAUAGCGUGGGCAAACCGAAGCUUCCUGGGAAGCGUGGAUUAAUGUUCCCUAAAGAGCCUGGCUUUGGGUAAGACCUUCUGGAUGGCUUGUCAAUUUGCUGAGCGGGGGCAUCACAGCCUUAUGGAGAGAUGAGAUGUGGACCAAGAGACCAAGGUUCGCUGCACGUGGUGGCAAACACCUGUGAUCCGGGCCCAUCUGAGACGGGAAGAUAGUGAACUGGAUAGUGAGACGCUAUUUAAAAGCAAACAGUGAAAAGGCCACAACGCAGCCAUGAAUUAUCAGCCUUUGCCUCUGACCUGGAAUUUUGUGACUACUGGAUAAGACCCUAACAUGGAUGCUAGGCUUCUGGACCUCUCACCCCUCCCAACUUCAAGGCUGCGAAUGAGCGGGCACCUGCUUCUGCAUAAAAUGUUUCCACCCAGAUGAAGACUCCAUCAAGAUCCGGGAGGAGAGAUUCCUCGCCUCUCUGCAGCCCACUUCCUGGAUGGCCCUGCCACCUCUCUUUUGGGACUGUAUAAGCCCCAGUCCUUUCUCUGUAGGAGGACACGAUCUUUGGGGACCCAUGCCAUUCUGAGUAACCUGUGUCUGUGUUCCAAACCAUGAUGCCUGGUGCUUGGGCUCAGAAUGAACUGUUUUCGUAUUUCACAAUUGCUACUUCCUUUUUUAUGCUGACAGAAAGAACUAGAUGUGAUAUGAGUUAUUUCCAGGAAAGUCUGGGGAGGUGGACUUCUGCUCA